rnacentral:rRNA from 1 species
CACGGAGUUAGCCGAUGCUUAUUCGUAUGGUACUGUCAUCACUCUACUCGUAAAGCUUAUUCCCCCCAUACAAAAGAGGUUUACAACCCAUAGGGCAGUCAUCCCUCACGCGACUUGGCUGGUUCAGGCUCUCGCCCAUUGACCAAUAUUCCUCACUGCUGCCUCCCGUAGGAGUCUGGUCCGUGUCUCAGUACCAGUGUGGGGGACCUUCCUCUCAGAACCCCUACCUAUCAUCGACUUGGUGGGCCGUUACCCCCCAACUAUCCUAAUAGGACGCAUGCCCAACCGUUACCUAUGAAUAUUUAAUAAUAUAAAGAUGCCUCUAUAUUAUAUUAUGGAGUGUUAAUCCACGUUUCCAUGGGCUAUCCCCCUGUAACGGACAGGUUGCAUACGCGUUACUCACCCGUGCGCCGGUCGUCAGCUAUGUAUUGCUACAUCCUGUUACCCCUGACUUGCAUGUGUUUAAGCCUGUCGCUAGCGUUCAUCCUGACGCCAGGAUCAAACUUCC